AAGCGAGAUGUGAAAGCCCCGGGCUCAACCUGGGAACUGCAUUUCGAACUGGCAAACUAGAGUGUGAUAGAGGGUGGUAGAAUUUCAGGUGUAGCGGUGAAAUGCGUAGAGAUCUGAAGGAAUACCGAUGGCGAAGGCAGCCACCUGGGUCAACACUGACGCUCAUGUACGAAAGCGUGGGGAGCAAACGGGAUUAGAUACCCCGGUAGUCCACGCCGUAAACGAUGUCUACUAGAAGCUCGGAGCCUCGGUUCUGUUUUUCAAAGCUAACGCAUUAAGUAGACCGCCUGGGGAGUACGGCCGCAAGGUUAAAACUCAAAUGAAU
rnacentral:rRNA from 1 species